UGGUGGGUAGUUUGACUGGGGCGGUCUCCUCCUAAAGAGUAACGGAGGAGCACGAAGGUUGGCUAAUCCUGGUCGGACAUCAGGAGGUUAGUGCAAUGGCAUAAGCCAGCUUGACUGCGAGCGUGACGGCGCGAGCAGGUGCGAAAGCAGGUCAUAGUGAUCCGGUGGUUCUGAAUGGAAGGGCCAUCGCUCAACGGAUAAAAGGUACUCCGGGGAUAACAGGCUGAUACCGCCCAAGAGUUCAUAUCGACGGCGGUGUUUGGCACCUCGAUGUCGGCUCAUCACAUCCUGGGGCUGAAGUAGGUCCCAAGGGUAUGGCUGUUCGCCAUUUAAAGUGGUACGCGAGCUGGGUUUAGAACGUCGUGAGACAGUUCGGUCCCUAUCUGCCGUGGGCGCUGGAGAACUGAGGGGGGCUGCUCCUAGUACGAGAGGACCGGAGUGGACGCAUCACUGGUGUUCGGGUUGUCAUGCCAAUGGCACUGCCCGGUAGCUAAAUGCGGAAGAGAUAAGUGCUGAAAGCAUCUAAGCACGAAACUUGCCCCGAGAUGAGUUCUCCCUGACUCCUUGAGAGUCCUGAAGGAACGUUGAAGACGACGACGUUGAUAGGCCGGAUGU
rnacentral:rRNA from 1 species